UGGCGUCAACAAACUGCCUGCUCCAAAUCUUAUACAAUUUUAAGCUUGUAUCAGAUUUGCAAUCUUUUCUCUUGUAUUUGCUGUGACCUGCCAUAAUAUUUUAUUGCAGAUUGCAGAGCUCUUACUCUGAUUCAGUUUUGUGUUAGCAAGCAGCAUGCCAGGGUGUUUUGCAUCUGGGUGCAGCCACCACAACAGCGCUGCAAGAUGUACAUUUAGGUUUCCAAGAGAUGGAGAGGAGAAGAUGAGGGUCGCUUAGGUGAGGGCUGUCAGACGUGCAGAUGCAGUUCCCAGGAGCACUUCCCAGCUCUGUUCCUGUCAUUUUGAGGAGGGCAGCUGCAUCCCAACACUCUUCCAGUACAACGGGUACCAGAUUGCUCAUUUCCGGUCGCCUGUGCUACACCAAGCUCAGAAAGGGAAAGCGGAUCACACAGCCACCAUCAGCGCGCUAGAACUCCAAGGAGGAUCUGCGAGCGGCGCGCCAGGCGCCGUCGGAGCAGCCCCUGGUAGCGACAGCCGCCGCGCCGUCGGAGCAGUCCCUGGGAGCCACGGCCAGCCGCUGUCGGAGCAGCCUCUGGGAGCCGGCCGGCCGCCGUCGGAGAGGCCUCUGGGAGCUUACCUGUAACUGACUGCGGCUGACGUGUGUGUCCGUGUGCGCGCGUGUGUGUGUGCGUUUCCACUGGCAGUGAUAG